UAGGGAAUCUUCCACAAUGGACGCAAGUCUGAUGGAGCAACGCCGCGUGAGUGAAGAAGGCUUUCGGGUCGUAAAACUCUGUUAUUGAAGAAGAACGUGCGUGACAGUAACUGGUCAUGCAGUGACGGUAUUCAAUCAGAAAGUCACGGCUAACUACGUGCCAGCAGCCGCGGUAAUACGUAGGUGGCAAGCGUUGUCCGGAUUUAUUGGGCGUAAAGCGAGUGCAGGCGGUCUUUUAAGUCUGAUGUGAAAGCCUUCGGCUUAACCGAAGAAGGGCAUCGGAAACUGGGAGACUUGAGUGCAGAAGAGGAGAGUGGAA
rnacentral:rRNA from 1 species